UGCCAGCCGCCGCGGUAAUACGGAGGGUGCAAGCGUUGCUCGGAAUUACUGGGCGUAAAGCGACCGCAGGCGGUUUGUCAGGUCGGAUGUGAAAGCCCGGGGCUCAACCCCGGAACUGCAUUCGAAACCGGCAGACUUGAGUAUGGGAGAGGAGGGCGGAAUUCCUGGUGUAGAGGUGAAAUUCGUAGAGAUCAGGAGGAACGCUCGCGGCGAAGGCGGCUCUCUGGCCCAAUACUGACGCUCAUGGUCGAAAGCAUGGGGAGCAAACAGGAUUAGAUA
rnacentral:rRNA from 1 species